rnacentral:rRNA from 1 species
GUGAGGAAUAUUGGUCAAUGGACGAGAGUCCGAACCAGCCAAGUCGCGUGAAGGAAGACGGUUCUAUGAAUUGUAAACUUCUUUUGUGCAGGAAUAAAGUGGGUUACGUGUAACCUUUUGUAUGUACUGUACGAAUAAGGAUCGGCUAACUCCGUGCCAGCAGCCGCGGUAAUACGGAGGAUCCGAGCGUUAUCCGGAUUUAUUGGGUUUAAAGGGUGCGUAGGUGGAUUGAUAAGUCAGCGGUGAAAGUUUGCAGCUUAACUGUAAAAUUGCCGUUGAAACUGUCGGUCUUGAGUGCAAAUGAGGUAGGCGGAAUGUGUUGUGUAGCGGUGAAAUGCUUAGAUAUAACACAGAACUCCGAUUGCGAAGGCAGCUUACUGGGAUGCAACUGACACUGAUGCACGAAAGCGUGGGUAUCAAACAGGAUUAGAAACCCCAGUAGUCC